CGGAGGGGCUAGCGUUGUUCGGAAUUACUGGGGCGUAAAGCGCACGUAGGCGGACCAGAAGUUGGGGUGAAGUCCCGGGGCUCAACCUCGGAACUGCCUUCAGAACUAUUGGUCUUGAGUUCGAGAGAGGUGAGUGGAUUCCGAGUGUAGAGGUGAAAUUCGUAGAUAUUCGGAGGAACACCAGUGGCGAAGGCGGCUCACUGGCUCGAUACUGACGCUGAGGUGCGAAAGCGUGGGGAGCAAACAGGGAUU
rnacentral:rRNA from 1 species